GCGGCCUAUCAGCUUGUUGGUGAGGUAAUGGCUCACCAAGGCAACGACGGGUAGCCGGCCUGAGAGGGCGACCGGCCACACUGGGACUGAGACACGGCCCAGACUCCUACGGGAGGCAGCAGUGGGGAAUAUUGGGCAAUGGAGGAAACUCUGACCCAGCGACGCCGCGUGCGGGAUGAAGGCCUUCGGGUUGUAAACCGCUUUCGGUAGGGAAGAAGCGAAAGUGACGGUACCUACAAAAGAAGCACCGGCUAACUAUGUGCCAGCAGCCGCGGUAAUACAUAGGGUGCAAGCGUUGUCCGGAAUUAUUGGGCGUAAAGAGCUCGUAGGUCGUUUGUUACGUCGGAUGUGAAAACCUGAGGCUCAACCUCAGGCCUGCAUUCGAUACGGGCAAACUAGAGUUUGGUAGGGGAGACUGGAAUUCCU
rnacentral:rRNA from 1 species